rnacentral:lncRNA from 1 species
ACAAUUAAAUUGCUUUAUAGAAGCCACAUAUUUUAAGCAGGAAGACUAUAAUAGGUCAGUCCUCAAGCUCAUUUUCAAGGGUUAUGGCAAAAAUAGAUUUGAAAGUUGUCUAUUUUGCUAUUCCUGUUCAUGAAAAUUCUAAAAAAUAUUUAAAAUUUGAGUACAGAACUUUUUUAUAUUAAUUAAACUGUUUACCGUUUGGUUUGAAUAAU